CAGAACGAAACGAAAAGCUUGGCCGAUAUGUACGACAUGGUGCUCAUAUUUCACAUGGAGGCCAAAUUCUUUUCUGUGACCUAGACGGGGUGCUGGCGAAUGUGUUCGGAAUCUGCUCGGCCACCAAGCACAAUCUGCGCUGCUAUACGUUCUCGGUGACAAAUCGCACAGCGCAGGAGCACACGCACAAAUGUUUAAAGAAUGGGACGACAGACCGCCCGCAGUUUGCCAUGACGUCGAAAUAAGAAGCACAAACAGCGACGUUUCUGUACUUUUCUGGUCAAUAGUUCAGUUCGCAUGGUUGCGGCACGCAUUACUUUUUUUUUUUUUUUAAAUCCAAACGACGAAAACUUUGCGCGCACAAAUUAGCGCGGCGUUUGUGACGUUUGAAUUUGGCGCCUUUUCCCGCGCAUGCCAUUAGCUCCGGCCGGUGCACAGCGUUACUGCGCUAAAGAAAGUAGUUCAUCAAAAAAGCGAAGCAAAAAACUUUUAUACACUUGCAAAUCGCCACAAUUGUUCAGUAAUAACAUGAGAUUACAUAAUUUGUUAUCCAAUGGUACAAUUUAUGAUAAUAUAAGCGUGUAUUUGUAUGAGUGUACAUGUAUGAUUGCGCGUUUGCGAUGUUGCUGCUUGGCGCAUUCCGGCGAGUUCGUGCACGCCGUUAGCUUGAGAGUUUCCUGCGUUUUCUGUGUUCUUUGUGUGCUUCGCUGUGACAUCCUUGGAAUAUUCCUGCGUGUUGCUCGCUUUUUAUGGACUUGUUGCCUCGAAGAUCGCCAUGAUCGCCUCCGACUCAGCGACAUCAAGGAUUCAAAAUGAGCUGGGAGAGGCCCCAGCUGGAACGGUUCACAUAGGUUGAAGGAGUGCACAUUGAGAAGGUUAUCCUGGCACAGUUUACCAUGGCCUGCCAUGGUAGACCAGGAAAGUUUGCAAGGGCCUUGCUUCACCAUGUGUUCACAGAGGAGGAGCUCAUGGGCCAUUUGGGCUUUGGAAAUAACACCAAGGGGCAAAAAAGGCUCUUGACCCCACCAGGGUCAGUGCUGUU